rnacentral:rRNA from 1 species
UACGUAGGGGGCUAGCGUUGUCCGGAAUCAUUGGGCGUAAAGCGCGCGUAGGCGGCCAGAUAAGUCCGGUGUGAAGCCACAGGCUCAACCUGUGAAUGCCGCUGGAAACUGUCUGGCUAGAGUCCGGGAGGGGCGAGUGGAAUUCCUGGUGUAGCGGUGAAAUGCGCAGAUAUCGGGAGGAACACCUAUGGCGAAGGCAGCUCGCUGGGACGUUACUGACGCUGAGACGCGAAAGCGUGGGGAGCAACAGG